rnacentral:rRNA from 1 species
UACGUAGGGUGCAAGCGUUGUCCGGAAUUAUUGGGCGUAAAGAGCUCGUAGGCGGUCUGUCGCGUCGGCUGUGAAACCCCGAGGCUCAACCUCGGGCCUGCAGUCGAUACGGGCAGACUAGAGUGCGGUAGGGGAGACUGGAAUUCCUGGUGUAGCGGUGAAAUGCGCAGAUAUCAGGAGGAACGACCGGUGGCGAAGGCGGUGGUCUGGGCCGGCACUGACGCUGGAGGAGCGAAAGCCGUGGGGAGCGAACAGGA